UCUUGAUUGUGGCCCAUAUGGCUUCCACUUGUCUAAAAAGGAGGACUCCCUGAUAUAGCAAGACACUCUCCGGGCACUCAGCUCAAUGUCAAGCACAAAGUGGCACAUCAGAUUUGGGGUUCUGAAUCUCCUUGUCCAACACUUCCAUGUCACAGAACUUUUCGUGUGAAACCCCCAAAGCCAGGCCUUGAGCUCCUCAUGAAUUACAGGUCUAGAGGGAAAAAACUUCUGAAACAACUUCAGGGACAAUGGGAUUAUGAAAGCAAGCCUAUCUCCUCGGAGGACUCAGAGGCUGAUCAAUACCCCGAAUACCGCAAAGUCUCAGUAUUCGACUGACUUGAAGAAUGAAGCCACAGAUUUGGGGCCCUAGUUCCUUCAUUAACCCAUUAAGACAGAAGGUCGGAGGAGACCUUGGUUGGGUGUGCUAGAAACUAACCUGGGUUUCAUCCCUUGUUCUUUUUCCGUGUGCGUGUGCGUGUGCGUGUGCGAGUGCGUGUGUGUGUGGUGUGUGUGUGUGGUGUGCUGAAGGGGAGGGGGUUGUCAUAACCAUGAUCAAAUGUUCCUUCAAAGUAAGUGCCAAGACUCCCAUUCUGCUGCAAGAACCUCAUAAAUGAUGGUGUGACCGCCACCAUGGCGGGCCCCAGAGCCACCCCGCCUAGCCUCUUCCGUCUCAGAAAGACUUUUCUGUUUCCGGAGGCACCACUCAGAACAGAAAGCCCUCCACGGCCAGGUUCCCCCGCCCGCGCCCCCCCAAGAAAAUCUGGCUGGGCUGCCCUCUCCGCCUUCGGCUCCGCCCACGGGCCUGCGCCUCCCUCUCCCGCUGAGGCUGCCCUGGGAGGUCCCCACGCUGCCCUGCAGUGGCCCGGCAGCACGGCGCGGGAGGAGCAAGGCCACCCCACCCCACGGGCUGGCACCCCCUCUCCUGUCACCCCGCGCCUCUGCGCUCCUGCUCCAACCUGUCCCCCAACCCAUGACUCCUCUUGCACAGAAAACAGUCUCACCCUAACCCCUAUCCGCGCCCCACACGACCCAGCCAUCAUAAUCAUCAUUUCUGUUUUCCUUUAGCCCCAGGUUGGGCUAAACACAUUCGCUGGGAGCCAUCUGGUCUGCUUCCCGGGAACCCUUCGUGUGGUUUCCAUUAAACUUGCCAGAACCGUGCAUUGAAAAUGCUGCCCGGGGCCGCUCAGGAGCCUCCCCAGUCUGCCCUGCACAUGCAGAGCGAGGGGACCUCUGGGUAGGCGCCCAGGCAGACACCCGAGGACAAUGCUCGAGUGACUGCGUCGUCACUCCUAGGAAUACACUUAUCCCCGGCAAGGCUUUGCAGUGCCCCAGUGUUCGGUUUUUGCCACAUGCCAGCCAGAGUUUGUUAGAAUUCUGUUUCGAUUCUAAAAAUCAAUGUCAACAGCUUUACAGACGAAUUUACAGAAAUAACCUGGCCACAGAAACUUCGUGUGACCAGCCACAUUGAGUGUCUGCCUUAUGCGCCUGUCCCUGACUGCCCCUACCCCCACAGGAAAAACAACAGAAAAAAAAUUUAGCUUAUGGAAAAAAACUGCCUCACACAAUGAGUUUGGGUUUAUCGUACAAGAUAAAGGAGACAGGCGGAUUUAAGGAAUCAUAGUGCGCUGAGUGUGGAAAGUUCCUUGGGGUUUAUUAAAGAUUAGUCAGUUUAUUGAGUGGAAAACGGAGGGGUUUGGGAAGGGUCACAUGACCUGUGAGGAAAGUACAGACAGUACUGUGGCCUAGCGAAAGGAAGGAGUGGGAGGAGACCUGGCCGCCAGGUACUUUCAGGCAGCUAAAAGGAAUUAAUUUGUGGCGUCCUGUCCCUCGGCUGGACUACCCAAUAAGCGGAGCUUUCCUCCGGCCCCACCACCAGCCUAGGUUUCCCUCCCUCCCUUGUUUUCUUUGCUUUCUCUUCCCACCCCCACCCUGGCAGGGUGAUUCUAUUUGGGAUUUUAAAAUGAAACCAGGUGCUGCGUAAAACAAAGGCGAAGUAAUAACAAGGAAAGACGAUCCAACGCCUAAGGAAUGCGCUGAGUUUUAUGACUCAGGCUGUCCUGGCAAAGAGCUGGGAGUGACUUGGAGAGGUGGGUGGCACGGAGCAAAGUCCAUACAUGGCAGCCCUGGCCUCCCCACAUAGGGUGGUCAAGGCAGCCUAUGACUCACUUUGUAAGGCUUCUCAGGCUAGAGCCAAAUGAUCGUCAACUUUUCCCUGAGGGCCCGACACACGUGAUGGGGCCAGUGCUACCCUGAGGUUUAAAGAACUCAUCCUAGGCAAAAUGCCACCCUUUGCCCCAGGAAGACCCAGGCUUAUCACACUGGGCCAAGGGCACUGGUGCCUUUAGAAGAUGAACAGCAUGUAGGCUUUAAAGUGACAAGGAAAUCAGCAUGCUUGUGGUGGGGACAAUGGCUUGGGAGUGCAAGGUCUCAGGAUUGCUAGAGUGCCUUGGGUGGAGGAGGGGAGCAGAGAGCUGGAAGGCUUGUGGAUGAUGAGGGGCUCUGGGUGCCAUUCCUAACUACCUCACAAGGUUGGCUGUGCAUAGCACUCAGACACCCAGGCGGACAUCCACACAUUCUGAGGAUUCCUUUCAGAUGAGCAUAGUAAUGGAGUGAGAUGUACAUUUUUUUUUUUUUUU